rnacentral:rRNA from 1 species
GUGUCAGCCGCCGCGGUAACACGUAGGGGGCGAGCGUUGUCCGGAUUUAUUGGGCGUAAAGAGCUCGUAGGCGGUUUGGCAAGUCGGGUGUGAAAUUUCGAGGCUCAACCUCGAAACGCCACUCGAUACUGCCAUGACUGGAGUCCGGUAGAGGAGUGCGGAAUUCCUGGUGUAGCGGUGAAAUGCGCAGAUAUCAGGAGGAACACCAACGGCGAAGGCAGCACUCUGGGCCGGUACUGACGCUGAGGAGCGAAAGCGUGGGGAGCAAACAGGAUUAGAAACCCCCGUAGUCC